CCCUCUCUUCCUCCCUCCCUUCCCCCUCGCUCCGCGGCCGGCCCGCGGGCGGCUCGGCGGCCAUGCGGGCGGCACAGCCGCGCUCCCGGCAGCAGACCCUGGCCCUGCGGCGGCAGCUCGUCGGCUCUUCUUGCAAGCUGUUUUUUCCUCAUGAUCCAGUGAAGAUCACGAAGGCAAAAGGCCAGUAUAUGUAUGAUGAGAAUGGGAGGCAGUACCUUGACUGCAUAAACAAUGUGGCUCAUGUUGGACACUGUCACCCUGAUAUAGUAAAGGCAGCCCAUGAACAGAAUCAGUUGUUAAAUACAAAUUCUCGUUACCUUCAUGAUAACUUGGUUGAUUAUGCAGAGAGACUUUCAAGAACACUACCUGAGAAGUUAUGCAUCUUCUAUUUUUUGAAUUCUGGAUCUGAAGCCAACGACCUUGCCCUGAGAUUGGCACGGCAGUACACAAAGCACCAGGAUGUUAUCGUUUUAGACCAUGCUUACCAUGGACAUCUGACAACUUUGACUGACAUAAGCCCAUAUAAAUUCAGAAAUCUAGAAGGACAAAAGGAAUGGGUCCACGUGGCUCCUGUUCCAGACACAUACAGAGGACUUUAUAGAGAAGACCAUGAAGAUGCAGUGACAGCCUAUGCUGAUGAAGUAAAAAAUAUUAUUGAGCAUGCACAUAAGAGAGGCAGAAAGAUUGCUGCAUUUUUUGUUGAAUCUCUACCAAGUGUUGGUGGUCAAAUCAUUCCCCCAGCAGGAUAUUUUCAGAAGGUUGCAGAGCACGUGCACAAGGCAGGAGGUGUAUUUAUUGCUGAUGAAAUUCAAGUUGGCUUUGGCAGGGUUGGCAAGCACUUCUGGGCAUUCCAGCUUCAGGGAGAAGAUUUUAUACCUGAUAUUGUCACUAUGGGGAAGCCAAUAGGAAAUGGGCACCCACUUGCUUGUGUAGCAACAACAAAAGAAAUUGCAGAAGCAUUUGCGGCCACAGGAGUAGAGUAUUUUAAUACAUUUGGUGGGAACCCUGUUUCAUGUGCCAUUGGAUUAGCUGUGUUAGAUGUAAUUGAGAAGGAACACCUUCAGGCUCAUGCCACAGAGGUAGGCAACUUCUUGAUGAAGACACUCAAGGAGCAGCAAAUCAAGCAUCCCAUCAUUGGUGAUGUCAGGUAUCAGUGCAUUAUUUACAUUUUAGCUGCUUUCUCUUUGGUUCUGUCAGUCCAAUCCAACAGAUGUUGUUUUUAGAAAUUAAUUAAAUUUUGUGUUUUCAGCAAAAAUAGCCUCCUGUACAAUUAAGCAAAACAAACUUGAGCUUAUCAGAAGUCUCAUAUACUUUGCCACUCUGGGCCACUACUGUUUUAUCUAUUUAUUAGCUGCUAAAACUGUUGACUGCUUGAACUGCUACUGUUCAAACUGCUGUUUGAAAUCAAACACAGAGGUGCACAGGGUACAGAAGUGAUGAGCUAGAUGGAAAACAUGCUUAACAUCCUGUCCUGCUCUGCCAGUGUGAGCAGACAGAAGUCUGUAUUGCCACAUUUCUUCAGAACAGCAAAACUUUUUUCCAACAGUAGCCAAACAUCAGGUAAUUCUCAUGCAGUAAAGGUCUGGCCUUAAAAAAACCUCAUUUUUUUAGUUCACUUAUAAUUCCUUCCUCUGACCCUGACAGACUGAGUGGUUUUAUUUCUUUUACAGAGGCUGUGGCUUAUUCAUUGGAGUGGACUUAAUCAAGGACCAAGCAGAAAGGACUCCAGCCACAGCAGAAGCAGAGGAUCUAGUAACAAGACUUAAGGAAAAAUAUAUUCUACUGAGUACAGAUGGGCCAGGAAGAAAUGUGCUGAAAUUCAAGCCCCCAAUGUGUUUUAAUAUGGAAGAUGCAAAAUUUGUUGUGGAGACAAUUGACAAAAUACUAACAGAUAUGGAAAAAGAAUGUCUGAACCAAGAGAAAACACCUAUUUGUUCCACCUGAGCAGGUAUUUACCUAGUCACCCAAGCCAAGUUCCUAAACAUGACUUCACAAGCACUGUCAGAAUAAAGCUUCCUCAGAGAUGCUUUUACUCGAAGGUUGCAGGAAUUUCUGGGACUCUCCAGGCAUGGACCACACUUGUGUACAUCCAGCAUUCACAACUGCCAUCCGUCACUCUGACCCUCCCAGCAACACUGUGUGCAUCACUUGUUGUAAGCGAGGGCCAACAUGUCCCAGACAUGACUGUCUCUAGAGCAUGCAAAUGACUGCACAUCCACACAAACAGCUUUUCUGCUCGCUGCUCAGUGCCUUCAGGCUCCAGCCAGAAGCUGGUCAAGCUGCAUAACCACUUCUCAGCAGAUCUCCCCUUAAGUGUCAUUUCAGGUUCACAGCUGGCAUCUCAUCCUUCAGGAUCCAUUUACCCCUAGACUCAAAAGUUUGUGGGUAUCAGAGUAAGAUUGGUCUUGUUAAGUCUUCAAAGCCUUGUUAUGUGUCUUCAUCUGUUGAGGUCCCUCAGUAGGUUGCCAAGAGAACACCUAGCUGCAGCUCAGUUGGCUGCACACCCAUGAGCACAGUGUACACUUACAGUUAACACCUUGGGAGCAACACCCUUUGGUACACUCAGUACUUCUUCAAGCUACUCUGACUGAAAGACACCCACAUGUUUAGCAGAACUCUGGAUAGCUGGGAAGGAGUGCACCUAACGUGGUCAUUGUGAGCAGUGUAAGCAUUAGUGGCCUCAGCCACCAUGAGAUUUCAGUGCUAUGGCCCUGAGCUAAGGAGAAAUAUGCUUUUUAGUUCAGUGUAUAUUAGUAUAGCAGGCACAAGAAAAAUGUGUUAAUAUUUUAUUUAGCAAGUUAAUGGAAAGACAUACAGCUGUUUAUACUACUUAUUCUUAGGAACAGAAAGAUUACUGAACAGUGCCAGUGCAAAUUAGAGGCCUAAUGACUUAAUGUACUUAUCUGUGAUCUAAACUAAGCAAGAAAAAUGCCUUUAUUUUCUACAGGAAACCAAGAAUGCAAAAAGCCUCUUACUAAGUACAGUACUAGUAAGACACUUACAUAUAAUGUAAGCGAAAAUGAGGCAAUGAAGUAAUUUCUUUUAAUGAUACUUUUACAAAAAAAACCCAUAACAUUAUUUUCUUUCCAUAGGUUUCAAACAAUGUUCAAGAUCUACUACUAAGAAACAUUAUUCUACUAUAAUAAUGCACAUUUAAUCUUCAUCCUAGCAUGUCUUAGACCAGAUAAGUCACCUUUGAUUUUUCUGUUUUUCAUUUAUCUUGUUUUCAGUAAAAGCUCUAGGAGAAAUAAAUUUUACAAGAGCUUGUCUUAAC